GGAAAAUGGUCGGGAUA
rnacentral:tRNA from 12 species